rnacentral:rRNA from 1 species
AAUCAACGCUGGCGGCGUGCCUCAGACAUGCAAGUCGAACGCGAAAGUCCCCUUCGGGGGACAAGUAGAGUGGCGCACGGGUGAGUAACACGUAGGUAAUCUACCUUCGGAUGGGGAAUAACAGCCGGAAACGGUUGCUAAUACCGCAUAAUGCAGCGGCACCUAAUGGUGACAGUUGUUAAAGCGGGGGAUCGAAAGACCUCGCGUCUGAAGAGGAGCCUGCGGCGGAUUAGCUAGUUGGUAAGGUAACGGCUUACCAAGGCGACGAUCCGUAGCCGGCCUGAGAGGGCGGUCGGCCACACUGACACUGACAUACGGGUCAGACUCCUACGGGAGGCAGCAGUCGGGAAUUUUGGG